rnacentral:lncRNA from 1 species
AGGAGCCUGGUUUGUGUCUCCAGACUAUGUUGUUACAGCCUCAAUAGACCAGAGAAUAUCUGUGUGGAAGUUGACUGUAGAAAACACAGAAAUACAGCUGAUGAUGACUGGUUGUGUAUUUACAAGUGUCUCUGACGUUGCCAACAUUGAUUUAUGGAAGGAAAGCGAUCACUACUGUCUGCUUGUCAGUGGAAAUGGAAUGGAAGUCUUCAACCUUGAAACAUAUGGACAGUCCGUGGAUCCUGUAUUGACAGAUAUUCUAACCAAGAUAGUGACUUAACCUUAUCACGCUGGACAUGAUUGACACAGCCUUUGCGAAGAGUGUAGAUCAUAAUCCGUGCAGUGUGAUCAAGAUCUGCACUGUUCGCCAUUCAGUCCGUAUUCUUUUGGCAUGCACUCCUUUUAACAGUUAAUGGUUCUGUCCAAAUUGAAAGAUGGAUGAGUUCAUUAUAGGAAUUUGGCAGCAAAAAGGUUGAAAGUUUAAAGUUACAUUUAUAUGAUGUAUAUGUUACUUCAGGGAAUGAUGUCACACAGUGCUACCAGAAGCACUUACACAAGCAACCAGUAAAUGUUAGUGCAUACUGUGAGGGACGAUGGGACACGUGAAUUUGCUUUUAUUCAUCUGUCUAUCUAGAUAACAAAAUUUGUGAUUGAAAAAGUAUUGAACAUAGAGUUUUAAAGGAACAACAUUUUGCAUGUGAAAUUGUGCACCUUUGGUUUUAUAAGCUCACCUGUCACAUAGUGACAAGGUGAGCUUUUGUGAUCACCCUUCAUCCGUCAUCCGUCGUCAGUCCGUGCGUCCGUCCCUCAACAAUU